AUUGAACGCUGGCGGCAGGCCUAACACAUGCAAGUCGAGCGGAUGAAGGGAGCUUGCUCCUGGAUUCAGCGGCGGACGGGUGAGUAAUGCCUAGGAAUCUGCCUGGUAGUGUUGGAUAACGUCCGGAAACGGGCGCUAAUACCGCAUACGUCCUUAGGGAGAAAGUGGGGGAUCUUCGGACCUCACGCUCUCAGAUGAGCCUAUGUCGGAUUAGCUAGUUGGUGGGGUAAAGGCCUACCAAGGCGACGAUCCGUAACUGGUCUGAGAGGAUGAUCAGUCACACUGGAACUGAGACACGGUCCAGACUCCUACGGGAGGCAGCAGUGGGGAAUAUUGGACAAUGGGCGAAAGCCUGAUCCAGCCAUGCCGCGUGUGUGAAGAAGGUCUUCGGAUUGUAAAGCACUUUAAGUUGGGAGGAAGGGCAGUAAGUUAAUACCUUGCUGUUUUGACGUUACCAACAGAAUAAGCACCGGCUAACUUCGUG
rnacentral:rRNA from 1 species